rnacentral:rRNA from 1 species
AACGAACGCUGGCGGCAGGCCUAACACAUGCAAGUCGAGCGCGCCCUUCGGGGUGAGCGGCGGACGGGUGAGUAACGCGUGGGAACGUGCCCUUCUCUGCGGAAUAGCCUCUGGAAACUGAGAGUAAUACCGCAUACGCCCUUUGGGGGAAAGAUUUAUCGGAGAAGGAUCGGCCCGCGUUGGAUUAGGUAGUUGGUGGGGUAAUGGCCCACCAAGCCGACGAUCCAUAGCUGGUUUGAGAGGAUGAUCAGCCACACUGGGACUGAGACACGGCCCAGACUCCUACGGGAGGCAGCAGUGGGGAAUCUUAGACAAUGGGGGCAACCCUGAUCUAGCCAUGCCGCGUGAGUGAUGAAGGCCUUAGGGUUGUAAAGCUCUUUCAGCUGGGAAGAUAAUGACGGUACCAGCAGAAGAAGCCCCGGCUAACUCCGUG